GGGGCUGUAGCUCAGUGGUAAAGCACUUGCCCAGCACGUAUGAGGUACUGGGUUUGAUCCUCAGCACCACA
rnacentral:tRNA from 1 species